GAUGAACGCUGGCGGCGUGCCUAACACAUGCAAGUCGAGCGAACCCUUCGGGGUGAGCGGCGGACGGGUGAGUAACGCGUGGGUAACCUGCCCUAUACACACGGAUAACGUACCGAAAGGUACGCUAAUACGGGAUAAAGUUGUUGGAUGGCAUCUUCUAACAAUCAAAGCUCCGGCGGUAUAGGAUGGACCAGCGUCUGAUUAGCUAGUUGGUGAGGUAAUGGCUCACCAAGGCGACGAUCAGCAGCCGACCUGGGAGGGUGAUCGGCCACACUGGAACUGAGACACGGUCCAGACGCCUACGGGAGGCAGCAGUGGGGAAUAUUGCACAAUGGGCGAAAGCCUGAUGCAGCAACGCCGCGUGAGCGAUGAAGGUCUUCGGAUCGUAAAGCUCUGUCCUCAAGGAAGAUAAUGACGGUACUUGAGGAGGAAGCCCCGGCUAACUACGUGCCAGCCGCCGCCGUAA
rnacentral:rRNA from 1 species